AGGUUGUUGCUGUAGUUUUGAAUAAAAAUGCCAACCCGAAUGAUGGCCUUUUCAUACUAAAAGAAGGAGCCUAAAAAAGAAGGAUAAUUCUGCAAACUGCAAAAGAGUUAUAAGAAUAUCUUUAAACUAACUAGCAGAAUUAGCCUUUGGUUUAAGCUUCUUAAAACUGACAAAGUAGAGAAAACUCGCUACCAUACACACAAAACCAAAGGCUGCUAACACAAAGGUUAAAACAGAAAGAAAAGUUUUGACCGCAAAUGGAAAAUGCACAAUCUCAAAGGGUUUCAAGUCAACUCCAUUAGCAUUGACAUUAACCUGAUACCCGUUAAAAAGUACUAAUACACCAAGCGCUAAAGCUGCUAUAAACAACAGUAAACCAACUGUUAAAAAAAUAAUGCUGUUGCAUUUAUUCCUAUUUUUCCCUCUCAUAAGCAAUGAUCUUACCGACACGUUUACUAUGGCGCCCACCCUCAAACUGCGCCUGGAGAAAUUCAUCUACUAUUUUAAUGUUUUCUUCAGGAACCACAAAGCGGCUAGACAAACACAGCACAUUGGCGUCAUCAUGUUGGCGUGCCAAUGCUGCUGUUUUACUGUCUACCACUAAAGCAGCUAAGAUACCCUUAGCCUUGUUAGCGGCCAUACAAACACCCACACCAGUACCACAAAUAAGGAUGCCUAAACUAUUAGGAUUAGCUUGCAUUGUUUGCGCUAACAAAAAGGCAUAGUCCGGGUAGUCAUCAAGUGGAUCUAGCUCUGUAGGACCUAAAUCAAUCACUUGCAACUUUUGUUGUUCUAAGUGUUUUAUCACUAAGCUUUUGAGCUCUAAACCAGUGUGGUCAGAAGCAAUGUAAAUUGGAUGGUUCAUUUGCAUUAGUUUAAAUCAAGGUGGUGUUGUUUAGCAGAUGAUUUAAUUUUACCCAACAAACUAAUUAAACC
rnacentral:sRNA from 1 species